AGGCACAGAACUCUUGCCCAUAACAUCUAGUUCCAUCACACCCCCAAGGGUACUCAGCAGUGAUAAAGAUUGUCUAUAAGCGUCAGCUUGAAUCAGUUAGGGAAAAGAGAGCCGGCUAACCUGGUGCCAGCCGCCGCGGCUACACCGUGGGGCUCAAAUUGAUAAACUUCGGCGUUAAGCGUGGUUAAAGUUUUACUGAAUUAGGGUCGAAUAGGCAUUUAGCUGUGAAAAGCUUAUGACCUAGAAAGCCAAAAACGAAAGUUAUCCUAAUAAACUUGAACACACGACAGCUGGGGCACAAACUGGGAUUAGUAGAUACCCCACUAUG
rnacentral:rRNA from 1 species